rnacentral:rRNA from 1 species
UGCGCGUCAAGGAUAGCCUAGGUGGGAUUAGCUAGUUGGUGAGGUAAGGGCUCACCAAGGCGACGAUCCCUAGCUGGUCUGAGAGGAUGAUCAGCCACACUGGAACUGAGACACGGUCCAGACUCCUACGGGAGGCAGCAGUGGGGAAUAUUGCACAAUGGGCGCAAGCCUGAUGCAGCCAUGCCGCGUGUNUGAAGAAGGCCUUCGGGUUGUAAAGCACUUUCAGUCGUGAGGAAGGUGGUGUAGUUAAUAGCUGCAUUAUUNGACGUUAGCGACAGAAGAAGCACCGGCUAACUCCGUGCCAGCAGCCGCGGUAAUACGGAGGGUGCGAGCGUUAAUCGGAAUUACUGGGCGUAAAGCGCAUGCAGGUGGUUUGUUAAGUCAGAUGUGAAAGCCCGGGGCUCAACCUCGGAAUAGCAUUUGAAACUGGCAGACUAGAGUACUGUAGAGGGGGGUAGAAUUUCA